rnacentral:rRNA from 1 species
GACGAACGCUGGCGGCGUGCUUAACACAUGCAAGUCGAACGGAAAGGCCCUGCUUUUGUGGGGUGCUCGAGUGGCGAACGGGUGAGUAACACGUGAGUAACCUGCCCUUGACUUUGGGAUAACUUCAGGAAACUGGGGCUAAUACCGGAUAGGAUCUCCUGCUGCAUGGUGGGGGUUGGAAAGUUUCGGCGGUUGGGGAUGGACUCGCGGCUUAUGAGCUUGUUAGUGGGGUAGUGGCUUACCAAGGCUUUGACGGGUAGCCGGCCUGAGAGGGUGACCGGCCACAUUGGGACUGAGAUACGGCCCAGAAUCCUACGGGAGGCAGCAGGGGGGAAUAUUGCACAAUGGGCGGAAGCCUGAUGCAGCAACGCCGCGUGCGGGAUGACGGCCUUCGGGGUGUAAACCGAUUUCGCCGGUGACGAAGCGUGAGUGACGGUAAUGGGUAAAGAAGCACCGGCUAACUACGUG